GGGGGCGUAGCUGAGAUGGAUUAGCGACAGACUUGCAAUCUGUAAAGGCGGGAUCGUUAUCUGUCGCCUCCA
rnacentral:tRNA from 1 species